rnacentral:rRNA from 1 species
UCCGUAGGCGGGCAAUUAAGUCAGAGGUGAAAUCCCACAGCUCAACUGUGGAACUGCCUUUGAUACUGGUUGUCUUGAGUUAUAGUGAAGUAGAUAGAAUAUGUAGUGUAGCGGUGAAAUGCAUAGAUAUUACAUAGAAUACCGAUUGCGAAGGCAGUCUACUAACUGUACACUGACGCUAAUGGACGAAAGCGUGGGGAGCGAACAGGAUUAGUUACCCUGGUAGUCC